AUUGAACGCUGGCGGCAGGCCUAACACAUGCAAGUCGAGCGGAUGAAGGGAGCUUGCUCUCUAAUUCAGCGGCGGACGGGUGAGUAAUGCCUAGGAAUCUGCCUGGUAGUGGGGGACAACGUCUCGAAAGGGACGCUAAUACCGCAUACGUCCUACGGGAGAAAGCAGGGGACCUUCGGGCCUUGCGCUAUCAGAUGAGCCUAGGUCGGAUUAGCUAGUUGGUGAGGUAAUGGCUCACCAAGGCGACGAUCCGUAACUGGUCUGAGAGGAUGAUCAGUCACACUGGAACUGAGACACGGUCCAGACUCCUACGGGAGGCAGCAGUGGGGAAUAUUGGACAAUGGGCGAAAGCCUGAUCCAGCCAUGCCGCGUGUGUGAAGAAGGUCUUCGGAUUGUAAAGCACUUUAAGUUGGGAGGAAGGGCAGUAAAUUAAUACUUUGCUGUUUUGACGUUACCGACAGAAUAAGCACCGGCUAACUCUGUGCCAGCAGCCGCGGUAAUACAGAGGGUGCAAGCGUUAAUCGGAAUUACUGGGCGUAAAGCGCGCGUAGGUGGUUUGUUAAGUUGGAUGUGAAAGCCCCGGGCUCAACCUGGGAACUGCAUUCAAAACUGACGAGCUAGAGUAUGGUAGAGGGUGGUGGAAUUUCCUGUGUAGCGGUGAAAUGCGUGGAUAUAGGAAAGGAACACCAGUGGCGAAAGGCGACCACCUGGACUGAUACUGACACUGAGUGCGAAAGCGUGGGGAGCAAACAGGAUUAGAUACCCUGGUAGUCCACGCCGUAACGAUGUCAACUAGCCGUUGGGAGCUUGAGCUCUUAGUGCGCAGCUACGCGUGAGUGACGCUGGGAGUACGUCUCAGAUNN
rnacentral:rRNA from 1 species